rnacentral:tRNA from 1 species
GGAUGGGUGGCCGAGCGGUUGAAGGCGCACGCCUGGAGAGCGUGUGGACUCCAAAAGGGUCUCGUGGGUUCGAAUCCCACCCCAUCCG